rnacentral:rRNA from 1 species
UACGUAGGGUGCAAGCGUUGUCCGGAAUUAUUGGGCGUAAAGAGCUCGUAGGCGGUCUGUCGCGUCGGCUGUGAAAACUCGGGGCUCAACUCCGAGCUUGCAGUCGAUACGGGCAGGCUAGAGUUCGGCAGGGGAGACUGGAAUUCCUGGUGUAGCGGUGAAAUGCGCAGAUAUCAGGAGGAACACCGGUUGCGAAGGCGGGUCUCUGGGCAGUAACUGACGCUGAGGAGCGAAAGCGUGGGGAGCGAACAGG